rnacentral:rRNA from 1 species
AGCGAACGUUUGCGGCGGGCUUAACACAUGCAAGUCGAACGGGCUGUUCCUUCGGGGGCAGUCAGUGGCGCACGGGUGCGUAACACGUAGGUAAUCAACCCUCUGGUUGGGGAUAACACUUCGAAAGGAGUGCUAAUACCCGGUAUGGCGCAGCGGUCUUCGGAUCGCGGCGAGAAAGACCCGCAAGGGUUGCCAGAGGACGAGCCUGCGGCCCAUCAGCUAGUUGGCGAGGUAACGGCUCACCAAGGCGAAGACGGGUAGCUGGUCUGAGAGGAUGAUCAGCCACACUGGAACUGAGACACGGUCCAGACUCCUACGGGAGCAGCAGUGGGGAAUAUUGCGCAAUGGGCGAAAGCCUGACGCAGCCACGCCGCGUGAGCGAUGAAGGCC